UACGUAGGGUGCAAGCGUUGUCCGGAAUUAUUGGGCGUAAAGAGCUCGUAGGCGGUUUGUCGCGUCGACUGUGAAAACCCGAGGCUUAACCUCGGGCCUGCAGUCGAUACGGGCAGACUAGAGUUCGGUAGGGGAGACUGGAAUUCCUGGUGUAGCGGUGAAAUGCGCAGAUAUCAGGAGGAACACCGGUGGCGAAGGCGGCAUCCUGGACCGGCAUUGACGCUGAGGCGCGAAAGCCAGGGGAGCAAACGGG
rnacentral:rRNA from 1 species